rnacentral:rRNA from 1 species
AUGUGUUGUCCAUGCCCUAAAUGUGGGAAUACGAAGUCUUACUCUGACCGGAAAAUCCUUCACACCCACCUGCUUUACAAGGGUUUCAUGCCACACUAUAAUGUUUGGACGAGGCACGGAGAAAUAGGGGUUAUGAUGGAAGACAGUGAAGAAGAAGAUGACGAUGAAAACUAUGUGCCCCCUGAAUACAGUGAUGCUUCAACGGUGGAAGUUGAUGAAGAUCAAGAGGAACCAGACGAUGUGCCCGAUGAUGUUGCAACGGGGGAAGCUACUGAAGAUCAAGAGGAACCAGACGAUGUGCUCGAUGAUGAUGAUCUCCGCCGGGUCAUUGUCGAUGCGAGGACGCAAUGCGAAAGUCAAAAGGAGAAGUUGAAGUUCGAUCUCAUGUUAAAGGAUCACAAAAAAGGGUUGCACCCCAAUUGCGAAGAUGGCAACACAAAG